UCUUGUGUGGAUGGUGUUCAGCACCAAGGACAGGUAUGUUUGUCUGUGUGUGGAUGGUGUUCAGUACCAAGCACAGAUGUGACCAAGU
rnacentral:pre_miRNA from 1 species